rnacentral:rRNA from 1 species
UACGUAGGCAGCAAGCGUUUGUUCGGAGUUACUGGGCGUAAAGGGUGUGUAGGCGGUUCUUUUUAAGUUUGGUGUGAAAUCUCCCGCUUAACCGGGAGGGUGCGCCGAAUACUGAGGGACUAGAGUACGGGGAGAGGAAAGUGGAAUUCCUGGUGUAGCGGUGAAAUGCGUAGAUAUCAGGAGGAACACCGGUGGUGUAGACGGCUUUCUGGACCGUAACUGACGCUGAGACACGAAAAGCGUGGGUAGCAAACAGG